rnacentral:rRNA from 1 species
GAUGAACGCUGGCGGCGUGCCUAAUACAUGCAAGUCGAGCGAACGGACGAUAAGCUUGCUUCUCUGAUGUUAGCGGCGGACGGGUGAGUAACACGUGGAUAACCUACUUAUAAGACUGGGAUAACUUCGGGAAACCGGAGCUAAUACCGGAUGAUAUUUUGAACCGCAUGGUUCAAAAGUGAUUGACGGUCUUGCUGUCACUUAUAGAUGGAUCCGCGCUGCAUUAGCUAGUUGGUAAGGUAACGGCUUACCAAGGCAACGAUGCAUAGCCGACCUGAGAGGAUGAUCAGCCACACUGGAACUGAGACACGGUCCAGACUCCUACGGGAGGCAGCAGUAGGGAAUCUUCCGCAAUGGGCGAAAGCCUGACGGAGCAACGCCGCGUGAGUGAUGAAGGUCUUCGGAUCGUAAAACUCUGUUAUUAGGGAAGAACAUAUGUGUAAGUAACUGUGCACAUCUUGACGGUACCUAAUCAGAAAGCCACGGCUAACUACGUG